rnacentral:rRNA from 1 species
UACGUAGGGAGCAAGCGUUGUCCGGAAUCAUUGGGCGUAAAGCGCGCGUAGGUGGCUUCAUAAGUCCGUUGUGAAAGUCAAAGGCUCAACCUUUGAAAGCCGAUGGAUACUGUGGAGCUAGAGUACGGAAGAGGCGAGUGGAAUUCCUGGUGUAGCGGUGGAAUGCGCAGAUAUCAGGAGGAACACCAAUAGCGAAGGCAGCUCGCUGGGACGUUACUGACACUGAGGAGCGAAAGCGUGGGUAGCAAACAGG